UACGUAGGAUGCAAGCGUUAAUCGGAAUUACUGGGCGUAAAGCGUGCGCAGGCGGUGAUGUAAGACAGAUGUGAAAUCCCCGGGCUCAACCUGGGAACUGCAUUUGUGACUGCAUCGCUGGAGUACGGCAGAGGGGGAUGGAAUUCCGCGUGUAGCAGUGAAAUGCGUAGAUAUGCGGAGGAACACCGAUGGCGAAGGCAAUCCCCUGGGCCUGUACUGACGCUCAUGCACGAAAGCGUGGGGAGCAAACAGG
rnacentral:rRNA from 1 species